rnacentral:lncRNA from 1 species
UUCUCGGGCUGGGUGGGGAGGUCGUAGUUUAUGACGAGGGACACUUGCUGCACAUCGAUACCACGGGCCAGGAGGUCCGUGGUGAUCAGGACACGGGAGGAGCCUGAGCGGAACUCACGCAUGAUGAUGUCUCGGGUGUUCUGGUCCAUGUCUCCAUGGGUGGCUGAGACAGUGUGAUCACGGCCCCUCAUCUUGUCGGUCAGCCAGUCCACCUUCCGUCUGGUGUUGACAAAGAUGACACUCUGGGUGAUGGCCAG